rnacentral:rRNA from 1 species
AGUGAACGCUGGCGGCAGGCCUAACACAUGCAAGUCGAACGGCAGCACAGUAAGAGCUUGCUCUUACGGGUGGCGAGUGGCGGACGGGUGAGGAAUACGUCGGAAUCUACUUUUUCGUGGGGGAUAACGUAGGGAAACUUACGCUAAUACCGCAUACGACCUACGGGUGAAAGCAGGGGAUCUUCGGACCUUGCGCGAUUGAAUGAGCCGAUGUCGGAUUAGCUAGUUGGCGGGGUAAAGGCCCGCCAAGGCGACGAUCCGUAGCUGGUCUGAGAGGAUGAUCAGCCACACUGGAACUGAGACACGGUCCAGACUCCUACGGGAGGCAGCAGUGGGGAAUAUUGGACAAUGGGCGCAAGCCUGAUCCAGCCAUACCGCGUGGGUGAAGAAGGCCUUCGGGUUGUAAAGCCCUUUUGUUGGGAAAGAAAAGCAGCAGGUUAAUACCCCGCUGUUCUGACGGUACCCAAAGAAUAAGCACCGGCUAACUUCGUG